rnacentral:rRNA from 1 species
CCUACGGGAGGCAGCAGUGAGGAAUAUUGGUCAAUGGACGAGAGUCUGAACCAGCCAAGUAGCGUGAAGGAUGACUGCUCUAUGGGUUGUAAACUUCUUUUAUAUGGGAAUAAAAGGUUCCACGUGUGGGAUUUUGUAUGUACCAUAUGAAUAAGGAUCGGCUAACUCCGUGCCAGCAGCCGCGGUAAUACGGAGGGUCCGAGCGUUAUCCGGAUUUAUUGGGGUUAAAGGGAGCGUAGGUUGAAUGUUAAGUCAGUGGUGAAAUGCUGCGGCUCAACCGUAGAAUUGCAGUUGAAACUGGCAGUCUUGAGUACAGGAGAGGGAGGCGGAAUUCGUGGUGUAGCGGUGAAAUGCUUAGAUAUCACGAAGAACACCGAUUGCGAAGGCAGCUGACUGGACUGCAACUGACGCUGAGGCGCGAAAGUGUGGGUAGCAAACAGGAUUAGAUACCCUUGUAGUC